AAUGCACCAAUUUGUAAGUCGCUCUGGAUAAGAGCGUCUGCUAGAUGACGUAAA
rfam:Salmo salar isolate Sally breed double haploid chromosome ssa12, whole genome shotgun sequence.